GACGAACGCUGGCGGCGUGCUUAACACAUGCAAGUCGAACGAAGUGGCGAACGGGUGAGUAACGUGUAAUCAACCUGCCCUUCAGAGGGGGACACCAGUUGGAAACGACUGCUAAUACCGCAUACUGAAGGAGGGGAUUGCGUCUGAUUAGCUAGUUGGAGGGGUAACGGCCCACCAAGGCGAGGAUCGGUAGCCGGGCUGAGAGGAGUGACGGCCACAUUGGGACUGAGACACGGCCCAGACUGCUCCGGGAGGCAGCAGUGGGGAAUCUUGCGCAAUGGACGAAAGUCUGACGGAGCAACGCCGCGGGAGUGAUGACGGCCUUCGGGUUGUAAAGCUCUGUUAAUCGGGACGCGGUACCGGAAUAGAAAGCCACGGCUAACUACGUGCCAGCAGCCGCGGUAAUAC
rnacentral:rRNA from 1 species